CACCACAUCUUCAUUUAGCCAUUCUCUAAAUAUUUCCAAGGGCCUUUUGCCCUUCCAUAAUCUUGCCAUGCCUCUUUAUAUGCGAACCACAUCUUCAUUUAGGCAUUCUCUGGAGAGAUCCACCCACACACAUUUCUUUUUCUCAAGAAUUCGCUUGUCUCCAAUCCAUAUUUCGAUCUCCUUUGCCUCAGAUCUUCAUUCUCCUCUGCAUUUCUCCCUUACCUCAGCUUAAUCCACCAUAGAAUCCAUUUUUCAUUGAUUAAACCUAUCCUCACCGUUCUAUCUUCACUUUUGCCCGAUUAAAACCUAUUUUCAUUCCAUUCCAUCGAUUCAAUCGUUGAAUCCUUUCUUUCCACCGAUCAAAACAUCCCAAAUCCCCAACCCUAGAAUGUAUACCGAUUAAACCAUUCAAUCUAGGGUUUGCCUCCGUUGUCUGUCAUCCGUUGUUCUUCUUCUUCGAUUAGCUCGAUCUGUGCCAGUUUCCAUGGUUCCUCGUCGAUCCGCCUCGACCUGGAGUUAUCAAGUGGUAUUUAGAGGCGUGUCUGCAUGGAGCUAAGUAUUUUCUUUGCCUUUCCAUGUUGUCUUCUAUUAAUUGUCUUGAUUCGUUGGUCUUGUAUUGAAACUUUAACACAUGGAUUGAAAAAUACAAUUUUUUUUUCUCAUUAUUGUCAAUACCGUGUAUGGACUGUCUGUUGUGCUCAUGUGAAAAGAAUAAGUUUUUAUCAUAUAUUGCUUUACAUUAUUAAGGGUGUCUCUGUUUGUGAAUCCUUCCUGUUUAUUAUCUUGAAUCCUGUUAUUUAUGGGUUAAUAGUUGUCUGAAUAUGAAAAAGUAUAUAUGAUAUAUUAUGAAUUCAUCGAACUAACCAUGAUAGGAGUGAAGAAAUGAGAACCCCCCAUAUGAGCAGGCCAAUGGCCAUCACUAGUUUGCAGUGCUGACAGGUAACGAGAAGCCCUUUUUAUGGACUGAGUAGCCUUCUCCCAUGCACCUAAAACAGGUCGGAUGCUAAGUGGAAAAUUAUCUAAGUCUCUUGGUGGGCUUCCUCCACAAUCACCUGUUGCUCAAUGGGACAACAUCAUCAAAUUUUUGGAUUCACUCAUGAGCAGAAUGCGUGUAAAUCAUGCAAUGAUAUAUGGUAGGGGUCUAAUGCCAUCGGGAAUGUAAUUGGUUCCAAUGGUGUUACCAGACGGUCGAAUUGGCUAUGUCGGCUAUGUCCUACAAUAACUUGGUGUACAAGCGCCACCCAACCGACCUCGCAGAAGUGAUCGGAGUAAUGGUCCAAGUAGGCAGCCAGGGCGAGGAGGUGGUAGUGGCAAUGAUGAAGACAACCAUACAAGAAGGCAUUGUCUUUGAGUUGUUUUCUUAUUUAGAAGUAGAAUUUAAAUGUUUUUCCUCUGUACUGAUAUAUAAGAACUUGAACUUGUAGUGUUGUAUUGUUGUGGCAGCAAGUAUCUUAUGUAAAAGACUACGA